GGUGCCAAAUCCCUCCCUCCCAGCUGUUAGAUGAAAUUCCCUCAUGCGAGUAACUUUGGCUAUCUUGUCUAUCUGUGACUGCCGGGGUUCUUCAACUUCACCUCGCGCCGGCCGCGGCAUCUGCUACAGAUUCUUGAGCUUGGGUGAAACCACUCGACCAUUCACAUGAGCUGCCACCACCGGGAAAGAAAGGACGGACAUAUAUUUGCAGCUGCAUGAUCUUCCUCCGGCCAACGGAAGGUGCCAAGCUGUUGUUAAGGAAGUGGAUCGAGGAGCUGAAGGAGCAGCCAUGGUCCAAGCAGAGGAAGUCAAAUGAUCAGCCAGCUUUCAACUGGGCCUUUGAACAAGACUGCUGGGCAGGAACAUAAUUAGAAAAGAUGAGUUCAACAAAAGCUUUAUUGAAGACUGCCAGUGUAAGUAAGAGAACAUAGGGAGUAACUUCUUUUUUGUUUUUUGAACAAACCGACAGGAACGCUGCCAAAUCAUAGGGAGUAACUUCUAAGGUACUAUAUUUUGUAGGAUCUCUUUAAUAGGCAUAUAUAGGUUAUACUAGUCUGUGUUCUUACUUUAUUUUAUAUAGUGGACUGCAGUGCCUUUCUGUUGAAAGGUCUGAACAAUAAAAAUCUGUAUGUCUUCUGGCAACAACCUUGCUGCAUUUGCAUCAAAAAGAAAACCAAAGAAAAAAAUGCUGCAUUCUAAUUUCUCAUUUCUAGUUUUCUUUCUGUUUCUGAAAGUAUAGUUAUGGAUGCCGUAAAGAUACUGAAAUAUGUACAUAAGAAUAUGACACAUAGCUAAGGAAUUUUUUCUAUUUUGUUUGUUUGUCGUACUUCUAUGAAUAAUUGCCUUCAACUAUUAACAGGAGAUAUGCAUGCAGUUUGACGUGUACCUCCUUCCUCAGUCUGCAUUUCCAACCGGAGGCCUAUAUUUCAAGAAUAAAACAUGAGUCAAGGAGACGAAGGCCAAGCAUGCCAUCAUACAUAAUAACUAUGUCACUGGGUUUGAGAAGAAGAUAAAAUGGUUCCAUGAUCAUGGGCUGUGGUUGGUAGAUGAGCACAACCACGAGUCACUGCUUGGCAGGAUAUGAGCAUACUAUCAAAGGGCUUAAGCACAUCUCUCCUCACGAUAGCAUCACAAUUUUGUAGCUGCAAUUUGACUCUCGAGGCCAGUUUCUGCGGGGACAAACAUUGGAUAAUGUUCGGUCCACCACUCCACCAUGCAAGACGCAGCACCGGAAGAUCAAAUCCUUAUGCAGAAGAUAUUUUUUUGCUAACCUCUUGUUUGAUCCGUAAUGUCAAGCCCUUGUAGAAGUUUCAUUUCCCGUGAAGUGAUGAUGAUUACUGUUUCUAUUGUAUUUGCUCGUAUUGAAAAUGGUAUGUUGAGGGAAACAGUAAGACGUUAAGAGCGUCGUGAACAGAUCUGUUGGUAGUGCAUUGGUUGACUCACUUUCUGUAUAGCAAUAGCAUAGACUCUUUUAGCCUUAGCCUGUAUCAUAAUCACUGAAUGUAAGUUAAUCUUUUCAGCUAUAUAUAUAGAGGUUGAGCUAA